rnacentral:tRNA from 1 species
GACAUCAUGGUGUAGUGGUUAUCAUAUCUGCCUAACAAGCAGAAGUUCCCCAGUUCGAGCAUGGUGGUUUCG